AGUUUCACUCUUAUGACAGAUCUUAUUGUACACAUUUUGUAUUAGAGGAAAACCCUGAAGCAAUUGCUCAAACUGUUCAUCAUCUUGGAAUUUUUAAAAAUCCAGCAAAUGUAAUAAAUUUGAAAAAAAAAAAAACAACUUUUUUUUUCUUUUUCAUGAACAGCCUAGAAAACACUGGA